rnacentral:rRNA from 1 species
AUGCAGUCGAGCGGUAGAGAGAAGCUUGCUUCUCUUGAGAGCGGCGGACGGGUGAGUAAUGCCUAGGAAUCUGCCUGGUAGUGGGGGAUAACGCUCGGAAACGGACGCUAAUACCGCAUACGUCCUACGGGAGAAAGCAGGGGACCUUCGGGCCUUGCGCUAUCAGAUGAGCCUAGGUCGGAUUAGCUAGUUGGUGAGGUAAUGGCUCACCAAGGCGACGAUCCGUAACUGGUCUGAGAGGAUGAUCAGUCACACUGGAACUGAGACACGGUCCAGACUCCUACGGGAGGCAGCAGUGGGGAAUAUUGGACAAUGGGCGAAAGCCUGAUCCAGCCAUGCCGCGUGUGUGAAGAAGGUCUUCGGAUUGUAAAGCACUUUAAGUUGGGAGGAAGGGCAUUAACCUAAUACGUUAGUGUUUUGACGUUACCGACAGAAUAAGCACCGGCUAACUCUGUGCCAGCAGCCGCGGUAAUACAGAGGGUGCAAGCGUUAAUCGGAAUUACUGGGCGUAAAGCGCGCGUAGGUGGUUUGUUAAGUUGGAUGUGAAAUCCCCGGGCUCAACCUGGGAACUGCAUUCAAAACUGACAAGCUAGAGUAUGGUAGAGGGUGGUGGAAUUUCCUGUGUAGCGGUGAAAUGCGUAGAUAUAGGAAGGAACACCAGUGGCGAAGGCGACCACCUGGACUGAUACUGACACUGAGGUGCGAAAGCGUGGGGAGCAAACAGGAUUAGAUACCCUGGUAGUCCACGCCGUAAACGAUGUCAACUAGCCGUUGGGAGCCUUGAGCUCUUAGUGGCGCAGCUAACGCAUUAAGUUGACCGCCUGGGGAGUACGGCCGCAAGGUUAAACUCAAAUGAAUUGACGGGGGC